rnacentral:tRNA from 1 species
GGGAUCGUAGCUCAGUUUGGUUAGAGCGCAUGCCUGUCACGCAUGAGGUCGCGAGUUCGAGCCUCGUCGGUCCCGCCA